UACGGGGGGGGGCAAGCGUUUGUUCGGAAUUACUGGGCGUAAAGGGCUCGUAGGCGGUUUGUCGCGUCAGGAGUGAAAACUCGGGGCUUAACCCCGAGCCUGCUUCUGAUACGGGCAGACUAGAGGUAUGCAGGGGAGAACGGAAUUCCUGGUGUAGCGGUGAAAUGCGCAGAUAUCAGGAGGAACACCGGUGGCGAAGGCGGUUCUCUGGGCAUUACCUGACGCUGAGGAGCGAAAGUGUGGGGAGCGAACAGG
rnacentral:rRNA from 1 species